ACGAAAAAUAACGAUACGGGACUCAUCCGAGGCCCCGUAAUCGGAAUGAGUACACUCUAAACCCUUUAACGAGGAUCAAUUGGAGGGCAAGUCUGGUGCCAGCAGCCGCGGUAAUUCCAGCUCCAAUAGCGUAUAUUAAAGUUGUUGCGGUUAAAAAGCUCGUAGUCGAAUUUGUGUCUCGCGCCGCCGGUUCAUCGCUCGCGGUGUCAACUGGCGCGCUUGCGGGACGUCCUGCCGGUGGGCUUAGCCCUCCGGGGCGGCCCAAUCUCAAUCCCACCGCGGUGCUCUUCACUGAGUGUCGAGGUGGGCCGGCACGUUUACUUUGAACAAAUUAGAGUGCUUAAAGCAGGCUAAAACUUCGCCUGAAUACUGUGUGCAUGGAAUAAUGGAAUAGGACCUCGGUUCUAUUUUGUUGGUUUUCGGAACCCCGAGGUAAUGAUUAAUAGGAACGGAUGGGGGCAUUCGUAUUGCGACGUUAGAGGUGAAAUUCUUGGAUCGUCGCAAGACGGACAGAAGCGAAAGCAUUUGCCAAAAACGUUUUCAUUGAUCAAGAACGAAAGUUAGAGGUUCGAAGGCGAUCAGAUACCGCCCUAGUUCUAACCAUAAACGAUGCCAGCUAGCGAUCCGCCGACGUUCCUCCGAUGACUCGGCGGGCAGCUUCCGGGAAACCAAAGCUUUUGGGUUCCGGGGGAAGUAUGGUUGCAAAGCUGAAACUUAAAGGAAUUGACGGAAGGGCACCACCAGGAGUGGAGCCUGCGGCUUAAUUUGACUCAACACGGGAAACCUCACCASGCCCAGACACCGGAAGGAUUGACAGAUUGAGAGC
rnacentral:rRNA from 1 species